UGUCUUGUGUUUCUCCUUUGGCUUCUUCUUCCUUCGUACAUAUUUAUGGUUUACUAAAUGGUGAUGAUAAUUGUGAUUUGUGACCACAACUUCUCCUUUCUUCUUCUCUAUUUUCUAUUUGUUGUAGUAGGUGUUACAGAGAAGGACAUGGCCAAGCAUGAGACUUAUUUGCUAUGGUGAAUUGGGAGUUUGAUUGAAGAUUCUUCUUCUGUCUUGGGUUUUUAAGUUCUUCUUGUUAGAUUUAAAGUUUACUUUUAUGGGUUGAGAGUUUUGAUUGAAGUUCCUAUAUCUCUCAAGGUUUUUAAGUUUCUUCUUAGUAGAUUUACUAUUUAUUCUUGUGGAUUGGGAGUUUCACUAAAGUCCUGUAUCUCUUGAGAUUUUUAAGUUUCUUGUUGGUAGAUUUAUUUAGUUAUUUUCUGGAGGAGAUUUCACAAA